rnacentral:rRNA from 1 species
GACGAACGCUGGCGGCGUGCUUAACACAUGCAAGUCGAACGGUGAAGCCCUUCGGGGUGGAUCAGUGGCGAACGGGUGAGUAACACGUGAGCAACCUGCCCCUGGCUCUGGGACAACCACUGGAAACGGUGGCUAAUACCGGAUACGACCCGCCUCGGCAUCGAGUGUGGGUGGAAAGUUUUACGGCUGGGGAUGGGCUCGCGGCCUAUCAGCUUGUUGGUGAGGUGAAGGCUCACCAAGGCGACGACGGGUAGCCGGCCUGAGAGGGCGACCGGCCACACUGGGACUGAGACACGGCCCAGACUCCUACGGGAGGCAGCAGUGGGGAAUAUUGCACAAUGGGCGAAAGCCUGAUGCAGCGACGCCGCGUGAGGGAUGACGGCCUUCGGGUUGUAAACCUCUUUCAGCUCCGAAGAAGCGAAAGUGACGGUAGGAGCAGAAGAAGCACCGGCUAACUACGUG